rnacentral:lncRNA from 1 species
UCUGAGAGAUGAGUAGGAGCAGAGCUGGCUCGUGCUGCAGUUGCUUAGCCACCUGUCUUUGAAAGUAUGCACACGAGCCAGCCUCUAAGUCACCCCUGCUGACAACGGGUGCCAUGGAUUACUAAGACUCAGAGAAGCAGGUUGUUCUCUGCAUGUAAUGCUCAGCAUCUUCUUGCAGAGGAAGGAGCGUCGCGUCGUGAGCCCACCCGAGGGUCUCCAAGCCACUGCUAGGAGCAGUGUGCACUCCGACCCUGAUCGUGGGCCGGUGUCCUGGCUUAUCUCCCUUAAGAAUUCAUCUGUCCUCCAGAAACUACAAGUCAUGGGUGUUCUCAUUCCUUCCAUUUCUAUAAUUUGCAGGACCUUCCAGGCCGAGAGAAAAUAAAGCCAAUUCUAGAUAAUGCUGGAAUGAUUAUAUUGCUUCAAAAAUCACCAUAGGUUUAAGAAAGUUUUGUAUUUUGUUUUAUUUUUUAUUAUUUUUUUAGAUUAAAAUGAUCAUGGUUUUCUAAACUGAUUAGCAUAGUUUUUAAGCCACUCUGAAGUGUUUGUUAGGCUUCGCAUGCUGGUCUCCAUAUGCCUCUUUUCAAUUACAUGUGCUGCCGCAAGGAUGGCUGAACGAAUGCUUCUUUAAAAACAGAAAGCAAACUGUUAGGCUUUGUACAGUGUAACUAGUUAGCGUGCGACGUCUCAAACUGCCCUGAUUUCAUCACCAAACUGCUAGCUGUUCUGUUUGCAGAAAUAGCCACUAAAAAGUGCCUGAAAAUGAGAUGCUCCACGCGAGUUAAAGGACACGGAAGGGAACCGAGAAAGACUUAAAAUAACGCGAGAUCGGGCCAUGUUUGGAGCUGCUGCCAAGGGCUCUCACUUUUGAAGGGAGCAAACAUAAUACCCCGUGACUCUAAUGUUUAGCGAAUAUUAUUUAUGUUUGGCUGAUUCAGAAAAUUUCAAGUUAUUUGAAAAUAUACCUAAUUGCUCAUUACAGCGAUUUGUAAAGCAAGUACUGCCGUUUCACAUCUUAGAACCCUCCAGCAGAAAGACACAGUGUUUUAUUUUCGUGAGGGCAAGGAGAGAGGUGGUGUUUAAAACAAGGCAGUGUGGUUCCAGGACUGCGUUCUGUAUUGCGGUUGCUUGGAGAAAGGGGUCAAGAUGAUAUUAGGAGGCUCUUGGUUCAUCUGUGCUUAACUUGCUGAACAUGAGGUUGUAUUGCCAGCCUGUAAAUUCUCUCCAACCCCACCUAUGUGAAUGCCUAUCGUGGAGCCAAUUCUAAGGAAAUGAUUACGGAAUGAAUGAAUGGAUGAAAUCUUAUUUUCUUGGAAGUACCAGAAGUAAACUAACUAGCAUCCAAGACAUCAGUUGGACAAAAUAAAAACAGUGUGUGAAGCAGCUAGUAGAUGUCUCUUUUCUCCUCCUCCUCUUCCUCCUCCUCCUCCUCCUCCUCCUCCUCCUCCUCCUCCUCCUCCUCCUCCCCUUCUUCCCCAUUCCCUCCUCCUCCUACCACAAGGUGUUUCAUCCUCCACGGCUGAGAUGCUAACCUGACUCAUGCUGAGCUUUGGGUUAAGAUCCACUUACUCACCAGCCGCUUGGUUUUAUUUGGUUUCUCAGUCUGUGAUUCAGUUUUCUGUAUAUUAAAUAAAUUGUUAGAAAUUAUUACUUAGAAAGCAGUUUCUCUUGAGUCAGAUGCCAUAGUAUUUUCAAAGAAUUGAAAUUAUACCCUAACUUUUAAAAAGUAAUAUCUGGAAUAUUUCUCAUUUGUAUCCUUUUUUAAAAAAUAAUUCUUCAUGAGCAUGGAAAAUGCUUCUGUCAGUGUUCUUAAAAGUACAUGACAUUGCUGUGAAUGAAAAUUCCUUGAAAGAAGAAACAAUUGGUUUGCCAAGACUGACUGACUGCUAGAGAGUCAGGGAUGUAGGGAGGUUAGGAUGUUGCAGGUCCAGAGGCUAACUACAGUUUAUCUUGGCCUAGCAUUAGCAACUGGAAUAGCAAUUCCCUGCCCAUCUCCGUUUCUGAACUAACAUCCUGUGACUAGUUUAUAAAAACCUUUUGGAACCUAUUAACUUAGUAGAGCCCUAGCUUUUACCAGCCUCAGAGGUAAAAAUGUCAGCAAAUAGCAUUUGAGGCCUAUGCAAAAACUUUCCCACCUCUCUGUAACCAUGUCUCAGAUAUAUCCACCAGUGUGCUUAAACUGGUCAUUAUUUAUGACUUUCUUUGUUCUGUUACAGUAUAAAACUUUAUGAAACUGCUUCUACAUUGAAACAUGGAAUUUUGGAUAACCUAAACCUGUUUUCCUGGACCAUGGUCCUUUAAAGAAAAAUACAUAUGAUAUACAAAGGAAAGGGAUGUUUUUCAAGUAACAGCAGAGGAGCUACCUAGAGAAUAAUGUUAAUAGGUGUUGGCUUCAGUCACUUUAGGACAUACAUUCUGGAGGGGCAUUAGGAACAAAUACACAGAUACUAACUUUCUGCAACAAAAUGGAAUGCUUUAAAAUCAUUGCCUAGCAAAUUGAUCUUCCCUUUUUAAAGUGGUUGUGUUUCAGGAGGUGUGAAUGUUUAAGUAAUGAUAAAACAUUUUCAAUAAGGUGAGGAAGAAUGUUGGUUACUUGGUGAAUGUAAACAGAACUGAAUGAGGAAGCUCUGGAUAAAUACAUUUCCAAUAACGAUUUAUUUACAUGAAUUUCUAUUCAGGAA